CCUACGGGAGGCAGCAGUGGGGAAUAUUGCACAAUGGGGGAAACCCUGAUGCAGCGACGCCGCGUGCGUGAAGAAGUAUUUCGGUACGUAAAGCUCUAUCAGCAGGGAAGAAAAUGACGGUACCUGACUAAGAAGCCCCGGCUAACUACGUGCCAGCAGCCUCGGUAAUACGUAGGGGGCAAGCGUUAUCCGGAUUUACUGGGUGUAAAGGGAGCGUAGACGGCAGCGCAAGUCUGGAGUGAAAUCCCAUGGCUUAACCAUGGAACUGCUUUGGAAACUGUGCAGCUAGAGUGCAGGAGAGGUAAGCGGAAUUCCUAGUGUAGCGGUGAAAUGCGUAGAUAUUAGGAGGAACACCAGUGGCGAAGGCGGCUUACUGGACUGUAACUGACGUUGAGGCUCGAAAGCGUGGGGAGCAAACAGGAUUAGAUACCCUUGUAGUC
rnacentral:rRNA from 1 species